rnacentral:rRNA from 1 species
AUUGAACGCUGGCGGCAGGCCUAACACAUGCAAGUCGAGCGGAUGAAGGGAGCUUGCUCCUGGAUUCAGCGGCGGACGGGUGAGUAAUGCCUAGGAAUCUGCCUGGUAGUGGGGGAUAACGUCCGGAAACGGGCGCUAAUACCACAUACGUCCUGAGGGAGAAAGUGGGGGAUCUUCGGACCUCACGCUAUCAGAUGAGCCUAGGUCGGAUUAGCUAGUUGGUGGGGUAAAGGCCUACCAAGGCGACGAUCCGUAACUGGUCUGAGAGGAUGAUCAGUCACACUGGAGCUGAGACACGGUCCAGACUCCUACGGGAGGCAGCAGUGGGGAAUAUUGGACAAUGGGCGAAAGCCUGAUCCAGCCAUGCCGCGUGUGUGAAGAAGGUCUUCGGAUUGUAAAGCACUUUAAGUUGGGAGGAAGGGCAGUAAGUUAAUACCUUGCUGUUUUGACGUUACCAACAGAAUAAGCACCGGCUAACUUCGUG